UACAGAGGGUGCGAGCGUUAAUCGGAAUGACUGGGCGUAAAGGGCGCGUAGGUGGUUAUGUAAGAUGGAUGUGAAAUCCCUGGGCUUAACCUAGGAACGGCAUCGGUGACUGCAUAGCUGGAGUACUGUAGAGGGUAGUGGAAUUUCCGGUGUAGCGGUGAAAUGCGUAGAGAUCGGAAGGAAGACCAGUGGCGAAGG
rnacentral:rRNA from 1 species